UUUCCGUAGGUGAACCUGCGGAAGGAUCAUUAUCGAGUGUUUGACAUCUGUUUUGUGCGGAGCAAUCCAAACAAAAUGUGUUGUUCAAAUCCUAAAAUUCCCUGCGAAACGUUGAUUGUUUCUUACAACAACCAAACCAUUUUAACCACACACACAAACAAGCUGAUUGUAUGAUGAAAUCGAAAAUAAAUAAAUCACAAUCGUGACAACUUUUAACAACGGAUAUCUUGGCUCUC
rnacentral:misc_RNA from 1 species